rnacentral:lncRNA from 1 species
CCCAAAUGCCAAACUAGUAGUUCUGUACCAGUAUUGUAGAGAGGCAGAUGUAGACUCCUUAGAAGAAAAAAACUUUCUAACAAUUACUAGAAAUGACUGCCUUAAGAAGUAUUGGGUUUCCUCUUACUAGAAGUCUUCAGGCAGAGGAUGAAUGAGGGGAUUCUUGAUAAUGUGAAGAUUGGAGUAAAUGGCCUCUGAGGCCCCUUCUAACUCUCACAUUCUGGUAUUCUAUAUUCCAAUGAACUUUUAAAAAUAUUUAUUGCGAGCCUACCAAAGCAGUAGUCAGAAUCUUUGUGUGUGUUCGUUUCCUAGCCUGUAAAAUUAGAAGCUUGAGCUCAAUUAUACCUAAGGCAUCUUCUGAGGACAUAUAGCAUGCUUACCAAAAUUGCAGAUGACUUGAAACUGGAAAGAAAGCUGGAUUGGAUUACAGACAACUUGGAACAGUGGACUGAAGCAAAGAAGUUCCAUCAAUGAAAGUAGCAGUAGCUGCUUCACCUAUGACUAAAGGAAACCGUAAAAGAAGCAGCAGCUUACAGGUAAAUUCUGAUUAUGUUUAAGAACCAUGUUAUGAAUGCAUGUUACUUGAUGAUCUCUAGGGAAUUAGUUUAGUAACAUUUGCUGAUAUAUGACAAACAUUCUUCCACUGAGCACAUACUGAUGGAGAAAACCCACCAACUGGCUAUGACAGAGAUAAAUGAAAAUUUAGAAAAUCAUCACAUACUCUGAAGAUUUCUGGGGGAAAUUAUUUCUAUGCUGAAUCAGAAAGCUUAAUAUUAAACUUGCAAACAGCUACUUGGCCAAGGUGAUUAAUGACAUAUUCAGGUCUUCAGCAAAAAAAAUAGUGAUUUUUAACUAUUUGACUACAGUGUAUGAGAGGCAGGGAUUAAAAAGAAAAAAAAUGUUUAAGGGGAAGGUAAAUUUUUGGAACUUAUCUGCAAGGCUGUCUUAAACACUUUAAGAAAAUUCCACAGCGAUCAAAAGCCCUGCAAAUAUAGUACUUAAACCGGUCAAUAAAUGUG